rnacentral:rRNA from 1 species
UAAGCCAUGCGAGUCGAACGAGUUUAGGCUCGUGGCGUACGGCUCAGUAACACGUGGAUAACCUACCCUUAGGACCGGGAUAACCUUGGGAAACUGAGGACAAUACUGGAUAGGCAAUUUUUCCUGUAAUGGUUUUUUGUUUAAAUGUUUUUUCGCCUAAGGAUGGGUCUGCGGCCGAUUAGGUAGUUGGUUAGGUAAUGGCUUACCAAGCCGUUGAUCGGUACGGGUUGUGAGAGCAAGAGCCCGGAGAUGGAACCUGAGACAAGGUUCCAGGCCCUACGGGGUGCAGCAGGCGCGAAACCUCCGCAAUGUGAGAAAUCGCGACGGGGGGAUCCCAAGUGCCAUUCUUAACGGGAUGGCUUUUCAUUAGUGUAAAAAGCUUUUGGAACAAGAGCUGGGCAAGACCGGUGCCAGCCGCCGCGGUAACACCGGCAGCUCUAGUGGUAGCAAUUUUUAUUGGGCCUAAAGCGUCCGUAGCCGGUUUAAUAAGUCUCUGGUGAAAUCCUGUAGCUUAACUGUGGGAAUUGCUGGAGAUACUAUUAGACUUGAGACCGGGAGAGGUUAGAGGUACUCCCAGGGUAGAGGUGAAAUUCUGUAAUCCUGGGAGGACCGCCUGUUGCGAAGGCGUCUAACUGGAACGGUUCUGACGGUGAGGGACGAAAGUUAGGGGCGCGAACCGGAUUAGAUACCCGGGUAGUCCUAACUGUAAACGAUGCGGACUUGGUGUUGGGGUGGCUUUGAGCUGCUCCAGUGCCGAAGGGAAGCUGUUAAGUCCGCCGCCUGGGAAGUACGGUCGCAAGACUGAAACUUAAAGGAAUUGGCGGGGGAGCACCACAACGCGUGGAGCCUGCGGUUUAAUUGGAUUCAACGCCGGACAUCUCACCAGAGGCGACAGCUGUAAUGAUAGCCAGGUUGAUGACUUUGCUUGACUAGCUGAGAGGAGGUGCAUGGCC